GAUGAACGCUGGCGGCGUGCCUAAUACAUGCAAGUCGAGCGAACAGACGAGGAGCUUGCUCCUCUGACGUUAGCGGCGGACGGGUGAGUAACACGUGGAUAACCUACCUAUAAGACUGGGAUAACUUCGGGAAACCGGAGCUAAUACCGGAUAAUAUAUUGAACCGCAUGGUUCAAUAGUGAAAGACGGUUUUGCUGUCACUUAUAGAUGGAUCCGCGCCGCAUUAGCUAGUUGGUAAGGUAACGGCUUACCAAGGCAACGAUGCGUAGCCGACCUGAGAGGGUGAUCGGCCACACUGGAACUGAGACACGGUCCAGACUCCUACGGGAGGCAGCAGUAGGGAAUCUUCCGCAAUGGGCGAAAGCCUGACGGAGCAACGCCGCGUGAGUGAUGAAGGUCUUCGGAUCGUAAAACUCUGUUAUUAGGGAAGAACAAAUGUGUAAGUAACUAUGCACGUAUUGACGGUACCUAAUCAGAAAGCCACGGCUAACUACGUG
rnacentral:rRNA from 1 species